CCAGACUCCUACGGGAGGCAGCAGUGGGGAAUAUUGCACAAUGGGGGAAACCCUGAUGCAGCGACGCCGCGUGAGUGAGGAAGUAUUUCGGUAUGUAAAGCUCUAUCAGCAGGGAAGAAAAUGACGGUACCUGACUAAGAAGCCCCGGCUAACUACGUGCCAGCAGCCGCGGUAAUACGUAGGGGGCAAGCGUUAUCCGGAUUUACUGGGUGUAAAGGGAGCGUAGACGGCGAUGCAAGUCUGAAGUGAAAGGCGGGGGCCCAACCCCCGGACUGCUCUUGGAACUGCGUGGCUAGAGUGCAGGAGGGGCAGGCGGAAUUCCUGGUGUAGCGGUGAAAUGCGUAGAUAUCAGGAGGAACACCGGUGGCGAAGGCGGCCUGCUGGACUGCAACUGACGUUGAGGCCCGAAAGCGUGGGGAGCAAACAGGAUUAGAUACCCUUGUAC
rnacentral:rRNA from 1 species